rnacentral:rRNA from 1 species
AACUAUAACGGUCCUAAGGUAGCGAAAUUCCUUGUCAGGUAAGUUCUGACCCGCAUGAAAGGCGUAAUGAUUUGGGCACUGUCUCAACAGCCCGCCCGGCGAAAUUGUAGUACCGGUGAAGAUGCCGGUUACCCGCGACAAGACGGAAAGACCCCAUGGAGCUUUACUGUAGCCUAAUAUUGGGUUUCGAUGUUGCAUGCACAGGAUAGAUGGGACACUAGGAAGCAGGUGCUUUGGCGCUUGUGGAGUGGCCGUUGGGAUACCAUCCUUGCGAUAUUGGAAUUCUAACCUGCGCCUUUGAAUCAAGGCGGGGGACAUUGUUAGGUGGGCAGUUUGACUGGGGCGGUCGCCUCCUAAAGAGUAACGGAGGCGUUCAAAGGUUCGCUCAGCUUGAACGGAAAUCAAGCAAAAGAGUGCAAACGCAGAAGCGAGCCUAACUGCGAGACUGACGGGUCGAGCAGUAACGAAAGUUGGAGUUAGUGAUCCGGUGGUAUGUGAGUGGAAAUGCCAUCGCUCAACGGAUAAAAGUUACCCUGGGGAUAACAGGCUGAUCUCCCCCAAGAGUCCACAUCGACGGGGAGGUUUGGCACCUCGAUGUCGGCUCAUCGCAUCCUGGGGCUGUAUUCGGUCCCAAGGGUUUGGCUGUUCGCCAAUUAAAGCGGUACGCGAGCUGGGUUCAGAACGUCGUGAGACAGUUCGGUCCCUAUCUGUCGUGGGCGCAGGAUAUUUGAUGGGAGCUGUUCCUAGUACGAGAGGACCGGAGCGGACGUACCUCUGGCGCACCAGUUGUUCUGCCAAGAGCAUAGCUGGGCAACUAUGUACGGAUCGGAUAAACGCUGAAAGCAUCUAAGCGUGAAGCCGACCCAAAGAUAAGAUAUCCCAUUGUUUCAAACAAGUAAGACCCCUUGAAGACUACAAGGUUGAUAGGCACGAUGUGUAAGUGGAGUGAUCCAUUCAGCAAGUGUGUACUAAUAGGUCGAGGGCUUGACCAC